ensembl:ncRNA F56F3.9 ncRNA
CUGGGAAAUCUUUUUUUGGGGGUAAGUUUUCCGAAUGUAGAUUUGGCAAAAUGUAUGGAAGGCAGCCAUUCAAGCAUUUUUGUGCCUACAACGUAGUCCUACUAGAAGACGUUUUUAG